rnacentral:ncRNA from 2 species
ACGAGGAAACCGGUGGAAAUCCGGCGCGGUCCCGCCACUGUGAUCGGCGAGCACGUUCCGCACAUGCCACUGCCCUGCCGGGUGGGAAGGCGCGGAGCGGGCGGCGAGCCGAGAGCCAGGAGACUC